rnacentral:rRNA from 1 species
CGUUAAUCGGAAUUACUGGGCGUAAAGGGCGCSYAGGCGGUUAUAUAAGUUUUGUGUGAAAUGCCCGGGCUUAACCUGGGAUCUGCAUAAGAUACUGUGUAGCUAGAGUAGAGUAGAGGGAAGUGGAAUUUCCGGUGUAGCGGUGAAAUGCGUAGAUAUCGGAAGGAACACCAGUGGCGAAGGCGGCUUUCUGGACUCAUACUGACGCUGAGGCGCGAAAGCGUGGGGAGCAAACAGGAUUAGAUACCCUGGUAGUCCAUGCUGUAAACGAUGAAGACUAGAUGUUGUGAAGAUAAAACUUUGCAGUAUCGAAGCUAACGCGAUAAGUCUUCCGCCUGGGGAGUACGGUCGCAAGAUUA